AUUGGGUAUAUCAAAAAUUGUGAGUGGUCACGCUGGGCCUAGCAACGACGUAGGAUUCACGCUAGCAACGUAUACGUUAGUGUUGAGGCAUAAAAGCCAGAAUGAUUGAUGUUUGAAUGUUUACAAGGUUUCUGUAAUAGGACAGAUAAAGGAUUGGAUUUAUGAUUCAAUGAAAACUUAUGUACAGUAUAAUGAUGCGGAGAGAUCAAAAUUUACGAAACAACGCAAAUGUUACAAAGUCGACUUGGUUUGAGACACAUGUACUUUAACAUUUGUUGC